rnacentral:misc_RNA from 1 species
GAUCAUUACCGAGUUAUUCAACUCAUCAACCCUGUGAACAUACCUAAACGUUGCUUCGGCGGGAAUAGACGGCCCCGUGAAACGGGCCGCCCCCGCCAGAGGACCCUUAACUCUGUUUCUAUAAUGUUUCUUCUGAGUAAAACAAGCAAAUAAAUUAAAACUUUCAACAACGGAUCUCUUGGCUCUGGCAUCGAUGAAGAACGCAGCGAAAUGCGAUAAGUAAUGUGAAUUGCAGAAUUCAGUGAAUCAUCGAAUCUUUGAACGCACAUUGCGCCCGCCAGUAUUCUGGCGGGCAUGCCUGUUCGAGCGUCAUUACAACCCUCAGGCCCCCGGGCCUGGCGUUGGGGAUCGGCGGAGCCUCUCUGUGGGCACACGCCGUCCCCCAAAUACAGUGGCGGUCCCGCCGCAGCUUCCAUCGCGUAGUAGCUAACACCUCGCGACUGGAGAGCGGCGCGGCCACGCCGUAAAACACCCAACUCUUCUGAAGUUGACCUCGAAUCAGGUAGGAAUACCCGCUGAACCUAAGCAUAUC